CUGGGGCCUCUGAGUUGUUCCCAAAGCCGGCCACCCUGCUCCAGCAAGGAAGAGCCCCCUGGAGCACGUGGGAAAAGUUUCCUUGCGGUAGCGAGCGCCUGACCCCCCCGUGUGUUUGACAGACAUGCCUGUGCCCCUCAUUACUAUGGAAAAUACAGGCUUGCUGGUAAUUACCACCUGGGCUUGAAUGGGAGUACGAGUGGGCACCGCCCGCUCUGGCCUUUCUCUGACAAGGACGGAUCCGAAUCUUGCUGGAUGAAGACAUAAUGUGUCAUAAUAAUUAGGAACGCAGACAAAAGAACAGCUAAUCAGCAUGCAAAUGCAUGCGGCGGGUGAUGCAGACGAGGCGCAUUCCUACCUCUUUUUUGCUUGAUUCAUCUUCAUCGCUAAUCAUCUGAAGGCUGCCAAAUGUUCACUGACACGAAUGGAUUAUAGGUCAAGAGCGCGGCCCCUCACCUCUCUCCCCCAGCCACGCGCCCGUCCCCAGCCCCUCUUCAGGAUUUCGGCAAUCACUGCCAGCCGCAAUCAGCCCCCUUCAUGGGGACGCUCGGAGGCUUGUUUGCGGUGCGGCUUCAUUAGAAUCAGGAGGCCCAAGAAAGGAAUAAAUUACUUAAUUGCGCAAAGAAAGUAGCGGUGCGAGGUGGUGCGUGGUGGGGCUGCAGGAGCCGGGGGCGCGCUCGGAAUGGGGCGUCUUCGAAAAGCUGGUGGUCCUGCCUCCCCACGCAGGCGGCGGCGUUGGGUGUCCUCCAAACCAGAUGGCUGCCCGCAUCACCCAUUCUUCUCUUUGUCAGGUUCCACCAUUGAUUUGAUCUCGGUCCCUCUCAGUGGCACCAGCAUUCAGACCAGCCUCGUCUGGCCUCGCCAAACUUGGCUUCUUCCGCUGUCUUUGCCUUUUCUUUCUUCCGCCCCUCUGGGUUUGGGGUUGUUUAUUUUAUUAUUUUUUAUUAUUAUUAUUUGAUGAUCCAGCAGAAUAAAACCCUCCUUGUCCACCUCC